UUAACGAUUUCUGUAAAUUACACUGUAUUUUACUGUAAUAUGAACUGUAUUUUACCGUAGGGCAUGUUAUACAGUAUGUUGCUGUAUUUUGAUGUUGCAUUGUGGGAAAUGUAAUCUUUGUGCCAGUAAAAUACUGUAUUUUCUAUUUACUGUAAAAUUUACAGUUAAUUAAAAAUACUGUAUUUUAAUAGCAGGUGGUGCUAAUUUGUUUUUUGGGGAUUAACUCUCUGAUUAAGCUAUCUUAUACAAAUAAUGUAAUAUUAUUGUAUUUAUAUAUUGAUUUAAAAUGUAAAGUAAAAUUCAGAAGACUUAAACAAAGUCCUAAAAACAAUCAAACAACUAAAUUAGUGCAAGUAGAGCUGAUUUAUUUAUCAAAACACAAUAUAAUCAUCUUCAUUAAAGUAUUUUGUAUAUUCGAAUUAAUUUAUAAAUGUAAGUGUUUAAAAAUUAGAGAUAGGUUUUGCCGGUUGUUGAUGAGUGAUGAAUACCAGCUGUGAAUUUUCUCAACGCGUGUAAGCAGCCAUGACACAGGAAACCGAAAUAGUGUUCCAAUAUAAAGUGAGGGUCCUUGACAGUGGCCGAACCCGCAUACUACACGAUAUAAUGAUUCCCCACCUCGGGAGCUAUAGGGAACGAAUUGAGACACAGCCCUGGAUGUAAUCACGUCUGUGCUGAUCACGUGCCUGUACACAAACCCGCCGCAGCUCACUUGCAAAAGAUUAUCCUGUUAUUUAUUACACGUAUAGUAAACGUUUUUAAUGUUAUCAUGAAUCAAUGUUAUAGUUUUGUAUGUCACAUUAUUUUUUGAGAAGAGUCAUGACUCAACGCGGACCUUACACGCUGUUAAUUUGUGUGUGCAUAUGGCGGUACAGGCUCUUUUGCACUCUAUGACCAGCCAUCAUUAAAUCGAAAUACAGUAAAAAAAAUGAGCGCGAAACCCUGACACUUUACAGAAAGGCACGGAUAUCCCCGCCCGAAGAAAAAAAGAGCACAGGACAAUGGUUGCAAGGUAAACAGCUGAACAUUUCACCAUCUGCAAAGAACAUUUCACCAUCGACAUAUCAACAUAAACGGUCCUCUUUUUCGAGUUUGACUGCGUUUGGUACAGGUCACAACAACAACGGCAGAUGUAGAGACCACACUUUCCCUUGCUUCCACUCCACGGCUGAUCAUGCUUGGUCACAACAACAACGGCAGAUGUAGAGACCACGCUUUCCCUUGCUUCCAUUCCACGGCUGAUCAUGCUUGAGGAUCCAGAUCUACAAAACAAAAAAUGGAUGCUGCCGAUUGAAGGCUAAGUCCGCUUUCCUGCGAUUGACCUACCAUUUCUUCAGCAUUUGCUGUUCACUUUGGUUGCUACUACGUGCUCAACAUCAAGUAC